GGUUCUUUGCAUCCGCAUACCUGAGGAGGCAAUUGAUCUGUUUAUGGUGGAGAUUAUGCACAUGCGCCAUAAAUUUGAUGUAGAUACACGUUUGGUUGAGGGUCUUGUCCUUGAUCAUGGUUCUAGGCAUCCUGAUAUGAAGCGACGAGCAGAGAAUUGUUACAUCUUGACAGCCAAUGUAUCUCUGGAGUACGAGAAAAGUGAAGUGAACUCUGGAUUUUUCAAUUCAAAUGCGGAGCAGAGAGAAGCAAUGGUUUUA